AACGAACGCUGGCGGCAUGCCUAACACAUGCAAGUCGAACGAGACCUUCGGGUCUAGUGGCGCACGGGUGCGUAACGCGUGGGAACCUGCCCUUAGGUUCGGAAUAACUCCCCGAAAGGGGUGCUAAUACCGGAUAAUGUCUUCGGACCAAAGAUUUAUCGCCUUGGGAUGGUCCCGCGUUGGAUAAGCUAGUUGGUAGGAUAAAAGCCAACCAAGGCGACGAUCCAUAGCUGGUCUGAGAGGAGGAUAAGCCACACUGGGACUGAGACACGGCCCAGACUCCUACGGGAGGCAGCAGUGGGGAAUAUUGCACAAUGGACGAAAGCCUGAUCCAGCAAUGCCGCGUGAGUGAUGAAGGCCUUAGGGUUGUAAAGCUCUUUUACCCGGGAUGAUAAUGACAGUACCGGGAGAAUAAGCUCCGGCUAACUCCGUG
rnacentral:rRNA from 1 species